rnacentral:rRNA from 1 species
UACGUAGGGCGCAAGCGUUGUCCGGAAUUAUUGGGCGUAAAGAGCUCGUAGGCGGUUUGUCGCGUCUGCUGUGAAAUCCUCAGGCUCAACCUGGGGCUUGCAGUGGGUACGGGCAGACUAGAGUGCGGUAGGGGUGACUGGAAUUCCUGGUGUAGCGGUGGAAUGCGCAGAUAUCAGGAGGAACACCGAUGGCGAAGGCAGGUCACUGGGCCGCAACUGACGCUGAGGAGCGAAAGCAUGGGGAGCGAACAGGAUUAGAAACCCCAGUAGUCC